GACGAACGCUAGCGGCAGGCCUAACACAUGCAAGUCGAGGGGUAACUAGAGUGAUAGCAAUAUUACUUUGGCUAGACCGGCGCACGGGUGCGUAACACGUAUGCAACCUACCUUAUACUGGGGAAUAACUUCGAGAAAUCGGCGCUAAUACCCCAUAACACUGCGGAGAGGCAUCUCUUUGCAGUUAAAGCUCCGGCGGUAUAAGAUGGGCAUGCGUCCAAUUAGCUAGUUGGUGAGGUAACGGCUCACCAAGGCUACGAUUGGUAGGGGUUCUGAGAGGAUGAUCCCCCACACUGGUACUGAGACACGGACCAGACUCCUACGGGAGGCAGCAGUGAGGAAUAUUGCGCAAUGGACGAAAGUCUGACGCAGCCAUACCGCGUGCAGGAUGACGGCCCUAUGGGUUGUAAACUGCUUUUGUACGGGAAUAAACCCUUCUACGUGUAGGAGGCUGAAGGUACCGUAAGAAUAAGCACCGGCUAACUCCGUGCCAGCCGCCGCCGUAA
rnacentral:rRNA from 1 species